AAAUUGAAGAGUUUGAUCAUGGCUCAGAUUGAACGCUGGCGGCAGGCCUAACACAUGCAAGUCGAACGGUAACAGGAAGCAGCUUGCUGCUUCGCUGACGAGUGGCGGACGGGUGAGUAAUGUCUGGGAAACUGCCUGAUGGAGGGGGAUAACUACUGGAAACGGUGGCUAAUACCGCAUAAGGUCGCAAGACCAAAGAGGGGGACCUUCGGGCCUCUUGCCAUCAGAUGUGCCCAGAUGGGAUUAGCUAGUUGGUGAGGUAACGGCUCACCAAGGCGACGAUCCCUAGCUGGUCUGAGAGGAUGACCAGCCACACUGGAACUGAGACACGGUCCAGACUCCUACGGGAGGCAGCAGUGGGGAAUAUUGCACAAUGGGCGCAAGCCUGAUGCAGCCAUGCCGCGUGUAUGAAGAAGGCCUUCGGGUUGUAAAGUACUUUCAGCGGGGAGGAAGGUGUUG
rnacentral:rRNA from 1 species